rfam:Dictyostelium purpureum unplaced genomic scaffold DICPTscaffold_102, whole genome shotgun sequence.
CCGGCUUUGGCGCAAUGGUAGCGCGAUUGACUGUAGUGAUUAUAUUGUUAUCAAUCGGUUGCUAGUUCGAGUCUGGCAAGCCGGA